rnacentral:piRNA from 1 species
UUUAUUCAAACUAUGUCUAUGUGUCU